AGAGAGAGACAUGCGCGCAUAUCAAUAAGCGGAGGAAAAGAAACUAACAAGGAUUCCCCUAGUAACGGCGAGUGAAGCGGGAAGAGCUCAAAUUUGAAAUCUUAAAGGGUUUCCCUUUACGAAUUGUAGUUUAAAGAAGUGUUUUCUGUUGAGGUUUUGGUAAAAGUUCUUUGGAAUAGGACAUCAUAGAGGGUGAGAAUCCCGUAUUUGACCUUUACUUUCAACUUUGUGAUACACUUUCAAAGAGUCGGAUUGUUUGGGAAUGCAGUCCAAAAUGGGUGGUAAAUUUCAUCUAAAGCUAAAUAUUGGCGAGAGACCGAUAGCGAACAAGUACCGUGAGGGAAAGAUGAAAAGAACUUUGAAAAGAGAGUUAAACAGUACGUGAAAUUGUCAAAAGGGAAGCGUUUGACACCAGUGUUGUUCUUCUGAAAAUCAAUUAAAGAACUGUUUAUGCUAAGCUGUUUAGACUUUAUCAGCUAACUGUUUAGUUUUGAGCUUUUCUUUAAUGCACUUUUCAGUUAACGAAGUCAACAUCAAUUUCUUUUGCUGUAAAAAAGCUUGAGGAAGGUGGCUUGAGAUUCGUCUUAAGUGUUUAUAGCCUCUUGCCUAUGCAGUCGGAGAGAUUGAGGUCUGCAGCGUAGAUCCUUCGGGGCUAAAUGCAUUUGUGCUAAGUUAUAGCAUUUUAUAGACAACUUGUUGACUAUGAUUUGUCUUGUAGCUUACUCGCUUAUGUUAUUUUACCUACGCUUAGGAUGUUGAGCGCAUGUCUCUCUCU
rnacentral:rRNA from 1 species